rnacentral:rRNA from 1 species
CAAGGCUAAAACUCAAAGGAAUUGACGGGGACCCGCACAAGCGGUGGAGCAUGUGGUUUAAUUCGAUGCAACGCGAAGAACCUUACCUGGUCUUGACAUACAGAGAACUUUCCAGAGAUGGAUUGGUGCCUUCGGGAACUCUGAUACAGGUGCUGCAUGGCUGUCGUCAGCUCGUGUCGUGAGAUGUUGGGUUAAGUCCCGUAACGAGCGCAACCCUUAUCCUUAUUUGCCAGCACUUCGGGUGGGAACUAUAAGGAGACUGCCGGUGAUAAACCGGAGGAAGGCGGGGACGACGUCAAGUCAUCAUGGCCCUUACGACCAGGGCUACACACGUGCUACAAUGGGAAGGACAAAGGGUCGCUAAGCCGCGAGGUGGUGCUAAUCUCAUAAACCUUUUCGUAGUCCGGAUCGGAGUCUGCAACUCGACUCCGUGAAGUCGGAAUCGCUAGUAAUCGUGGAUCAGAACGCCACGGUGAAUACGUUCCCGGGUCUUGUACACACCGCCCGUCAUACCAUGGGAGUGGGUUGCACCAGAAGUGGGUAGUCUAACUUAGGAGGACGCUCACCACGGUGUGAUUCAUGACUGGGGUAAAGUCGUAACA